GCCUGGGUGGCUCAGUCGGUUGAGCAUCUGACUUCAGCUCAGGUCACGAUCUCACGGUCCGUGAGUUCGAGCCCCGCGUCAGGCU
rnacentral:tRNA from 1 species